CACUCGUAUGAUUACAGACCGAAUUGGACUCCACUCAGUCCUAUUACCAUUAUUAAUUAAAAUUGGCGGGAACUUGCAGUAACAUAUUCGUUCGCUCCCAAGCCCUCUCGUCAGUUUCCAACAUCCAAUAUGGCGUCGAAAACGAUGAUUGUCAACACGACAUUCAAUAAAGUGGUAACGUGUUGGAAAAGGUGGUAGGCUAGUCAAUAAUAGACUUAUGUCGUUUAAAUAUGUGUGCAAAAAAAGUCUGAAGAAUAGAGAUGACAUGGACGCCCUUCAAACGUCGACGAGAAGUUCCAAAAAUUGUUAUGGUAAAGACAGAGUAGCGGAUUGGGUGACGGCAUAUUAUCCGAAGCUUGUUAAAGCAUAAAGAAGAAGAAAUUGGGCUAGGAAUAGCACCCUCUGACGGGAGGAAUUCACCUGCGAAUUCGAGGGGCGUGCAGGAAAUGAGUAAGUUGUACAUUACUUUUGUGCAGAGAACUUGUCCAAUUAAUUUACCAGAAAACGAGCCUAACAGUAACAAACUCCGGACUGUGCGGACACAUAUAUAAAAAAAGACGCAAUUAAUAAAAACCACGUAUAAUUGUUCAUGACUCACAUGAAAGCCCUUAUGAGAUUAUCUAGAGAGACAAAUUAUCAAACAACAUCGAACCGCCAUAUUUGUGUGUACAUGUAAUGCUGUAGCGAUCGCACGGUCACUUAAACUCCACGUCCUCACUCUUUUUCAAAUUUGAAGUGAGCUAGCUAUACAUAACAGGCCAGUACAGAAAAGUGAAUCAGUAAGAUGUAAA